CUACUUAGUCCCAAAAGGACCUUCCCCAGAUUCUGUAUCCUUGGCUUCAUCGAACAACUUCCCUAACUCGCGAAGUCCCAGCAAUAGGUACGCUCUCGCUAGAUGUCCACCUUCGGUCCCUUCAACCUCUUGGCAAUCUUCAACCCUUUUGAGAAAUUUUCUUUCCAGUUCUACUAUGCCUCGCUCCAAGUAUCCUAGCCGUUUGUUGGCAUUGAUAGCCAUGUCUUCUAUUCCUCAAUUAGCUUCUAGGUGAACUCUUGUA
rnacentral:lncRNA from 1 species